rnacentral:rRNA from 1 species
UACGAAGGGGGCGAGCGUUGUUCGGAUUUACUGGGCGUAAAGCGCACGUAGGCGGAUCGUUAAGUCAGGGGUGAAAUCCUGGGGCUCAACCCCAGAACUGCCUUUGAUACUGGCGAUCUCGAGUCCGGAAGAGGUGAGUGGAACUCCUAGUGUAGAGGUGGAAUUCGUAGAUAUCGGGAGGAACACCAGUAGCGAAGGCGGCUCGCUGGGCCGUUCCUGACGCUGAGACGCGAAAGCUAGGGGAGCGAACAGG